rnacentral:rRNA from 1 species
AGAGUUUGAUCCUGGCUCAGAACGAACGCUGGCGGCGUGCCUAACACAUGCAAGUCGAGCGCGAAAGUCCCUUCGGGGGCGAGUAGAGCGGCGGACGGGUGAGUAAUACAUAGGUAAUCUACCUUCGAGCUUGGGAUAACCCCGCGAAAGUGGGGCUAAUACCGGAUAAGACCACGCAACCAUGUUGCGGGGUAAAAGGUGGCUUAUUUUUUAAAUGAGCUAUCACUUGAGGAUGAGCCUAUGGCCUAUCAGCUUGUUGGCGGGGUAAAAGCCCACCAAGGCUAUGACGGGUAGCUGGUCUGAGAGGACGAUCAGCCACACUGGGACUGAGACACGGCCCAGACUCCUACGGGAGGCAGCAGUGGGGAAUAUUGGGCAAUGGGCGAAAGCCUGACCCAGCGACGCCGCGUGGGCGAUGAAGGCCUUCGGGUUGUAAAGCCCUGUCAUGCGGAAAGAACGACCCUGUGACGCAUACUCACAGGGAGUGACGGUACCGCAGGAGGAAGCACCGGCUAACUCCGUGCCAGCAGCCGCGGUAAUACGGAGGGUGCAAGCGUUGUUCGGAAUUAUUGGGCGUAAAGGGCGCGUAGGCGGUAAUGUAAGUCAGAUGUGAAAUACUCCGGCUCAACCAGAGAACAGCAUCUGAAACUGCAUAACUAGAGUACAGAAGAGGGAAACGGAAUUCCCGGUGUAGAGGUGAAAUUCGUAGAUAUCGGGAGGAACACCAGUGGCGAAGGCGGUUUCCUGGUCUGAUACUGACGCUGAGGCGCGAAAGCGUGGGGAGCAAACAGGAUUAGAUACCCUGGUAGUCCACGCUGUAAACGGUGGAACACUAGGUGUGGGAGGUGUAAUACCU